rnacentral:rRNA from 1 species
UACGUAGGGGGCGAGCGUUGUCCGGAUUCAUUGGGCGUAAAGAGCUCGUAGGCGGCCAUUCAAGUCGGAUGUGAAAACUCAGGGCUCAACCCUGAGCCUGCAUUCGAUACUGGGUGGCUAGAGUCUGGUAGGGGGAUCUGGAAUUCCUGGUGUAGCGGUGGAAUGCGCAGAUAUCAGGAGGAACACCGGUGGCGAAGGCGGGAUCCUGGGCCAGUACUGACGCUGAGGAGCGAAAGCGUGGGGAGCAAACAGG